rnacentral:rRNA from 1 species
AGAGUUUGAUCAUGGCUCAGGAUGAACGCUGACAGAAUGCUUAACACAUGCAAGUCUACUUGAUCCUUCGGGUGAUGGUGGCGGACGGGUGAGUAACGCGUAAAGAACUUGCCCUGCAGUCUGGGACAACAUUUGGAAACGAAUGCUAAUACCGGAUAUUAUGUGAGUUUCGCAUGAAAUUCAUAUGAAAGUUAUAUGCGCUGCAGGAGAGCUUUGCGUCCUAUUAGCUAGUUGGUGAGGUAACGGCUCACCAAGGCCAUGAUAGGUAGCCGGCCUGAGAGGGUGAACGGCCACAAGGGGACUGAGACACGGCCCUUACUCCUACGGGAGGCAGCAGUGGGGAAUAUUGGACAAUGGACCAUAAGUCUGAUCCAGCAAUUCUGUGUGCACGAUGAAGUUUUUCGGAAUGUAAAGUGCUUUCAGUUGGGACGAAGUAAGUGACGGUACCAACAGAAGAAGCGACGGCUAAAUACGUGCCAGCAGCCGCGGUAAUACGUAUAUCGCAAGCGUUAUCCGGAUUUAUUGGGCGUAAAGCGCGUCUAGGCGGUUUAGUAAGUCUGAUGUGAAAAUGCGGGGCUCAACUCCGUAUUGCGUUGGAAACUGCUUUACUAGAGUACUGGAGAGGUGGGCGGAAUUACAAGUGUAGAGGUGAAAUUCGUAGAUAUUUGUAGGAAUGCCGAUGGGGAAGUCAGCCCACUGGACAGAUACUGACGCUGAAGCGCGAAAGCGUGGGUAGCAAACAGGAUUAGAUACCCUGGUAGU